GAGCCUGGAAGAGUCAUCAUCACUUUCCUUGUUUCCAGGUUUGGGAUAGGAUGCAAUUAUCCUGGCCCAUCAAUAGCCAGCAUAUUGUCAGAACCAGGUCCGCAGAGCACAUGAUCCUUUAAGACACUGGGUUUUGAAUCCAGCCAAGCACCUGGGAGGCAUGGGAGACUGUGGAGC